UACGGAGGGUGCAAGCGUUAUUCGGAUUUAUUGGGCGUGAAGCGCGCGUAGGCGGUUUAGUAAGUCUGAUGUGAAAGCCCACGACUCAAUCGUGGAAGUGCAUUGGAUACUGCUAGACUAGAGUACUGGAGGGGAGAACGGAAUUCCUGGUGUAGAGGUGAAAUUCGUAGAUAUCAGGAGGAACAACUGUGGCGAAGGCGGUUCUCUGGACAGUAACUGACGCUCAGGUGCGAAAGCGUGGGUAGCAAACAGG
rnacentral:misc_RNA from 1 species